GAUGAAGAACGCAGCGAAAUGCGAUACUUGGUGUGAAUUGCAGAAUCCCGUGAACCAUCGAGUCUUUGAACGCAAGUUGCGCCCGAAGCCACUAGGCCGAGGGCACGCCUGCCUGGGCGUCACACGUCGUUGCCCCCCACCAUCUACUCCUUCGGGAUUGCGGGGGGCGGAUGAUGGCCUCCCGUGCGCCUAGCCGCGCGGUUGGCAUAAAUACCAAGUCCUCGGCGACGCACGCCACGACAAUCGGUGGUUGCGAAACCUCGGUUGCCCGUCGUGUGCGUUCGUCGCGCGUCGAGGGCUCGAAAAAAUGCUCGGCUCCGGCUCGGCUUUCAACGCGACCCCAGGUCAGGCGGGGUUACCCGCUGAAUUUAAGCAUAUCAAUAAGCGGAGGA
rnacentral:misc_RNA from 1 species